AAAUGUAUAUAUACGUAUCAGUUAGGUUGCAAAAAAAGGAAUUAAAAAGUGAAGCACACGAAAAAAGGGGAAGAAAGGAAUCGAUUCUAGGACAAAGAAGAGAAAAAGAUAUCAGGGAAUGACAAUAACGAUUCAAGAAAAAUUGGUAAAGAUCAAAAUGAGGAUUCAAGAAUACAGCCAGAAAAUGUAGAUAAUGUGGUAAAAGAUAUAAUUUGAACUUUCUUUGCGAAUGCCUACUAUGGGCUAUUUUCAACAAGGAAUGGGAAAGCGAUGGUUGGUCUCGGAGUGGGCACAAGUAAUUAAUAAACAAACAAACAAAGAAAAGAGAAGUAGCAACUGCGUUCAAAGGUAACAAAGAUGCGGGUGGGGAUUUUAAGAAGGAAAGAAAUGAAUUAGAUAAAUAAACGUAUCAAUGUUUUGUUACGGUCGAUAGGUUUAUUGGCGCGGAUGAUGGCAGCUGUGUGUCCUAUUAAGAUGGAAAAUGCGAACGGUAAGAGAAACAAUUGGCAAGGAUGGAGUAAUGGAAAAGAAGUAAAUG